AGAGUUUGAUCCUGGCUCAGAAUGAACGUUGGCGGCGUGGAUUAGGCAUGCAAGUCGAGCGAGAAGUUUUAGAAAGAUACUUCGGUUGAUUUUUAAAAUGGACAGCGGCGAAAGGGAGAGUAACGAGUAGAUUACGUACCCGAGGGUCCGGGAUAGCUGCGGGAAACUGCAGGUAAUACCGGAUAAUGUUUCCGAACCAAAAAUUUAUUGCCCUCGGAGCGGUCUGCUUACUAUUAGCUAGUUGGUGGGGUAAGAGCCUACCAAGGCAAAGAUGGUUAGCGGGUGUGAGAGCAUGGCCCGUCUCACUGGGACUGAGACACUGCCCAGACGUCUACGGACGGCUGCAGUCGAGAAUCUUCCGCAAUGGGCGAAAGCCUGACGGAGCGACGCCGCGUGCGGGAUGAAGGCCUUCGGGUUGUAAACCGCUGUCAGAGGGGAGCAAAUUUUGAGCAAUCCUCAGAGGAAGCACAGGCUAAGUUCGUGCCAGCAGCCGCGGUAAUACGAACUGUGCGAACGUUAUUCGGAAUCACUGGGCUUAAAGGGUGCGUAGGCGGCUUUGUAGGUCAGAUGUGAAAGCCCACGGCUCAACCGUGGAAUUGCGUUUGAAACCACAAAGCUUGAGGGAGAUAGAGGAGAGCGGAACUGAUGGUGGAGCGGUGAAAUGCGUUGAUAUCAUCAGGAACACCGGUGGCGAAAGCGGCUCUCUGGAUCUCUUCUGACGCUCAGGCACGAAAGCUAGGGGAGCGAACGGGAUUAGAUACCCCGGUAGUCCUAGCUGUAAACGAUGAGUACUAGUCCGUGGGGGCUUCCACACCUUCUCGGACGUAGCGAAAGUGUUAAGUUCUCCCCCUGGGGAGUAUGGUCGCAAGGCAA
rnacentral:rRNA from 1 species